UGGGAAAGGAGGUGAUGGUGGACAAUAAAAGAGCCCAGCUGUCUUCAAGGUAAUGCAAUGCAAGUCAGAGGAGUACAGCCCUCGCCUCUCCCCCGAACCUAAAAAUAGCUAGCUUAUCUUACUGC